rnacentral:lncRNA from 1 species
AUCUAAAGGAAAAAAGUCCCAAGCACAAAUAUGAUUUUUCAAGUGUUGGGAAAAGCCACAUUAUUUCAUGGAGAACUCCACUGUAAUUCCUUGAAAGCUUUAGUUACUCUAAAUUGAGUGUAGCAGACACAUACUUACAUGUUUGGAAAGUUUUACCUUACUUAAUUUCUCUAAUUUUUUUAAAGAGAAAGAAACAAGAUUAAGGGAAAUGGGAGUAUGUGUUAAAGGGUGGGAAGAAGUUAGAGAAGUAAAUACUGAGUAUUUAUUCCCACAAGUGAAAUGUGAAUUUUUCCUUAUGGAAUUAUAAUUACUAGACGCUACUUUCUAUAUUUAGCAUUUUCCUUUUACCUUUGCAUUUGAUUUAAGAUUGCACUGCUCCAGUGCUUUCUCUAUCAAUUUCAAUGUACAUAAAAUUUUCUCUGGACAUUACUUGGCUUAGGUGAUUUCCUUCCUGGCAUUUUCAUGCUUUGAUCUGGAAAAAAAACUUGUCUGC